rnacentral:rRNA from 1 species
AGCAGCCGCGGUAAUUCCAGCUCCAAUAGCGUAUAUUAAAGUUGUUGCAGUUAAAAAGCUCGUAGUUGAAUUUCGGGGUCAGUAGAUUGGUCGUGCCACUGGUAUGUACUGGUCUCACUGGCUCCUCCUUCCUGAUGAACCGUAAUGCCAUUAAUUUGGUGUUGCGGGGAGACUGGACUGUUACUUUGAAAAAUUAGAGUGUUUAAAGCAGGCUAACGCUUGAAUACAUUAGCAUGGAAUAAUGAAAUAGGACGUUCGAUCUUAUUUUGUUGGUUUCUAAGAUUGACGUAAUGAUUAAUAGGGAUAGUUGGGGGCAUUAGUAUUCAAUUGUCAGAGGUGAAAUUCUUGGAUUUAUUGAAGACUAACUACUGCGAAAGCAUUUGCCAAGGAUGUUUUCAUUAAUCAAGAACGA